rnacentral:rRNA from 1 species
UCUUGGUCAUUUAGAGGAAGUAAAAGUCGUAACAAGGUUUCCGUAGGUGAACUGCGGAAGGAUCAUUACCGAGUGUAGGGUUCCUAGCGAGCCCAACCUCCCACCCGUGUUUACUGUACCUUAGUUGCUUCGGCGGGCCCGCCAUUCAUGGCCGCCGGGGGCUCUCAGCCCCGGGCCCGCGCCCGCCGGAGACACCACGAACUCUGUCUGAUCUAGUGAAGUCUGAGUUGAUUGUAUCGCAAUCAGUUAAAACUUUCAACAAUGGAUCUCUUGGUUCCGGCAUCGAUGAAGAACGCAGCGAAAUGCGAUAACUAGUGUGAAUUGCAGAAUUCCGUGAAUCAUCGAGUCUUUGAACGCACAUUGCGCCCCCUGGUAUUCCGGGGGGCAUGCCUGUCCGAGCGUCAUUGCUGCCCAUCAAGCACGGCUUGUGUGUUGGGUCGUCGUCCCCUCUCCGGGGGGGACGGGCCCCAAAGGCAGCGGCGGCACCGCGUCCGAUCCUCGAGCGUAUGGGGCUUUGUCACCCGCUCUGUAGGCCCGGCCGGCGCUUGCCGAACGCAAAUCAAUCUUUUCCAGGUUGACCUCGGAUCAGGUAGGGAUACCCGCUGAACUUAAGCAUAUCAAUAAGCGGAGGAA